CACACAAACCGGAUGACCUUAUGCCUCGAACCCGCCUUUCAUCGUCAUACACUGCUAUGACUACUAGCGUUCCUCUACUGGAACCUUCAAAGGUGAAAUUGCCCUGGGAUUCAGAGAAUGAAAGACCAUUACGACCUUCAAGAGUGCUGGUGGGUAAUGAGGGAAAGCAUCAAUUUUUCAAACCAGCUUAUCGAGGGCUAUUAAAACAUACUGAACGCGAAAUCAAGACACUGCUCAACCUACAUCAGUUAGGGCUAAACAACAAAAUUCAAGUACCUAAAAUUCGUGGUCUUGUUUCAUCUGGAAAUAAGAGCAACAUGGAAAUUUGUGGUAUUCUAAUCACCUAUAUCAAGUUUCGCCGUACAUUGGCUUCUCGAGAUGAAAUCCAAAAGGCAGCACCAUAUCUUCGAGAAACAUGGAUUCAUCAGUUGAAAGAGAUGGUCAACGAGCUUCACAAAGCUGGAAUUAUCUGGGGAGAUGUUAAACCAGGAAAUGUCCUCAUUGACAUGGACAACAACCUGUGGAUAAUAGAUUUUGGGGGAUCUUACACACCCGGCUGGGUUGAUGAAAACCUGGUGGAAACAGUGGAAGGGGAUUUGCAAGGGCUGUCGAAGAUCAUAGAUUUUAUUAAUGGC
rnacentral:sRNA from 1 species